ensembl:lincRNA Gm14264 predicted gene 14264
UGUGUAGCUUUCCGUGCGAGAACGGCUGGACACACGAAAUCAUGAUCUGUAAAGGAAGUCACCCAUUUCUUUUAGGUUGGUGUGCUCCAUCAGGAACCCUUCUCAUACCUUCUUCUUGUUAUCCUCCUAACAGCGUGUCUAUUAACAAACUUUUGGUUCCUUGGGAAUUGCUCGGCCCGCAGCCCUGAUAAAGGAAGCCAAUCAGAACCCGGGUUUUAAUGAGUGGGGAUCACCAUUAUCUCAUUUUAAUUUGCAUUAAUCUAACAGCCCCGGCUCUCCUUCAUUCCUGUGUUGCUUUGUGUUCCUCUGGAAAAUCUUGCUUUUCUUUUCAUGUUCAGUUUGGCUGCCCUGCCUCUCUCUAAAUGUCCUUGUGUGUAUUAAUCUCUCUUCUGAUUGUUCUAUCAUUCUGAAUUGGACUUUACUCUGUGGCGUUGCUUUGUUUUUGUUUUCCGAGGAUGUGGCAUUGUUUGCUAACACCGUUUUUAGCCCAUGGGAAAACUAUUGAUUUUUGUCAUCCUGGCUUGCUGGAAUUUACGCUAAGAUCUGCUUUUUGCCUCACUAGCUCUCAGGAAAAAUGAAUCUGAAAAUAAUUACGAUUCUAUCUUUUAUAUCUUAAUGUUGAUAUGUGCUUUAUUUUCUUUUUAAAAUUUUGAUCCCAUUACACAAAUCACCCACUUAUGGAGUUUGGCCGUGCUGUGUGUGCAUGGAUGUAGGUUUAUUAAGUCACACAAAAAUGAAUGAGCAAAAUCUGCUCUGCCAAGACAUCUGUCUGCCUGGAGUCUUCUCCCUGAGUCUCAAGUUCUCCAUUUGUGAAAGUUCUCCAUUUGUGAAAGUACAGAAACAAGGAAGACUGGCAGCGUCACCAAACACUGACAAAGCUAUGGAGCAUCUACACCACACUGGAGUCUGAGUGUGUAUCGUGGCUCUCCAGAAAGUCUCCAGGCCUUCGGCAACUGAUUGGAAACACUAAGACAUCCCCUCUAUGGACUGAGCAGCUACUGGGGUUCCAGAUCCUCCAGGUGUAGACAGGAAUUGUUGGACUAAGCCAAAUCAGUAAAUCCCAUUUUGUUACAUACACACAUACACACACAUUCUAUCAGUUAUGCUCUUAAAUAACUCUGAUAUAUGUGCACGUAUGUGUAUAUAUAUAUAUGUAUAUAUAUCACACAAACAUACACAGACACACAUAUAUAUGUAUAUAUACAUAUAUCCUUAUGUACAUCCUGUAUUUAUUGGGUAUCUACAAUGGGCUAGGGAGUGCUUUCAUCCUGACAACUGAGCAAUUAAAAGAAAAAAAUUUAACUAAGCAUUAAAAAUUAAAAGCACUAUUUUUUUUUUAAACUGAGUUGAUGAAACAACAUUGUAGCAAGUGGAGACAAAAUAAUCAGGUAAAAACUUUAAUGAUUGUGACCAUUUUUGAAGACAAGAAAGAAUCAAAAAGGAGGUAUACACUUUGAAACAGGACCACUAGGAAGGUCUCCUGGGAGAAGGCGGCAUCUGUCUCGGACACAGGAGGGAAGGUGCAGGCCUCUGCAGGGUUAGCACCAUGCAAUCUGGCAGACUGAAGCUAAGAUCCUGGGUGAGGACAUGGCCACAGCCCGUGUCUAAGGAAGAGCAACAAGAAAGGUUAUGUGGUUCCGGGAAAGGAGAACAGAGCCAAGCCGUGACAAACAGCAGGCUGAGAUUGGCAUUCGGGGAUCUUGUUUUUUUUCUGGAAGAAGUCGGAUGGUCCAGGUUUGUGGCAUUCUGGACAGCACACAUCUCUUAACCAAGAUACCUCACGCGGCCACAGCAGCAUGGACGCGGUCACAGAAAGCACUGAACACGAAUGAGUGGCUGUGUGCCAAUAAAACUUUAUUUGUGG